CUAAUUUCCUAAAAAAUUGUAAUUGCUUUCAGCGCGUAGUUAUCUCCUCUUGAAUUUCACAGAAUGAUGAGAAUCGUCCCUGAAGUUCCUCCUUCAGCGGACCGCUCUUCUCUAACCAGACUAUGAGUUCGGUCUGAAUCUCUCUGAGGUGUUUGUACAAUGGACGAGCAUCAGAUUUGAGUAGGUUUUGAAGAGUGAUUUGAUGGAAGAAGCUGCUGAAUCUCAGCCAAAAUUCAAGGUUUUGCUCCAGCAAUUCGUCAAUGUUUGUUCGGAAUUUCCUUCCAUUGCUGACAAUGUACAAGUUUGAUCGGUUAGGAUUCGUCAAUCGUUGAUUGAGUUUGUGACACGGAAAUGUAGUUUUGAUUCCAGUCAUCUUGGUCUCUCUUCACCAUUUUUUCUUAACUCAUUUGUGAAUUUGUUUUGAACCAAAACAACAACAUUGUCUCUGGUGACCUAAUUUUCUAUGCUAUUGUCUCUGAGACAUCACUGAAUGCCUUGAAGCUCAAAUUUUAUAUGCAAUUUCUCAUUAUCGCGAUGCUCUCUCUGUUUUUUUUUUUGAAAUCUCUCUCUCACUGAAUGCAAUUUAUAUGCCCCAUCACUGUUUUCGGUGUCAGGUACUGAUCUAAUUUCCUUACAGAUCUAUCGUGUUUGUGUGUAAUUUUUCAAUGGAUGCUGGUGUUUUGAAUUUUGAGUGGCUAAUCUUUUUGGUUUUGUAUAUGAAGGAACCCAGAAGAAAUCCCAUGGGGCGAGACCGGUGCCGACUUUGUUGUUGAAUCAACUGGAGUUUCCACUGACAAGGACAAAGCUGCUGUUCACUUGAAGGGAGUUCAUCCAAGCAAGGCGAGAUGUGAGAUAAAGCAUAAGAAAGAAAGGUUUGUUUCAAUCCAUUUCUCAUUUCAUAUACAAGUUUAAUAUUUAUCUCCCAUGGAAUAACUCUUUUAUAUAUCAGUGAUUUAAAAGAAGGGAAAAUAGAUAAAUAGAAAAGUUACUGGAAAUCUUGAAGAAUACAAGGUAAAUAUUGUUUUCCUUUUCUUUAUUGCCUUUUAUAAUUACUCUACCUAUUUAAAUUUAUAUGUAAAAGUAUAUAAUUAAAUGAUUGUAUGUUGUCUUAGUUGAAAAGGACGGGGAAGCUUCAAAUGCACUUGCAAUUGUAGUACAACAAAAUAGGUAUAACUACUUUAUGCACUGGCCACAUGAUCUAUAUAAGAGUUCUUGGAGGACUUAUUUACAUCAAUUAGAUCAAGGAGCUUUUAAGAUUCUACUGCUUAUUUUUAGUUGUUCUGACAUUUGAUAUUCCAUUGAACAUAUGAAUCAUCUACUUUAUUUUUGCAAAAAAAUUAUAUUGGAUGGGGUGGGGACAAACUUAAAAUGUUAUCCUCCGCUUGAUAGAAAUUUAAUUAUCCUCUGAUUAUUAGAAAUUUGAGUUAAUAGAGCCUAAUUAUAUGGUUUUUAAUUGAUCAUUUCACAUUUGUGAUAAUUACUGGUUCAAAUAACAUAAUUAUUAUGAACCAACCAAAUGGCCACUGAUAAAUUGUUAUUUGAAUCAAACACAUGCCUAUUGUUUGUGGCAUGACAAUAUCAACCAUGUAACACAUUCAAAUUCCUAUUGUUGAGGGUCAAAGAAGUGAGGUCAAGUACUUCUUUCGAAAGAUCUAUUAUCCAACAAUGUACAGCACACAUUCUACUCUCCCUUUAUCUUCUCCUCAGCUUGGUGCUAUCUUUGGUCUCUGCUCAGCCUCAGGGUCCAUGGUUAACUCUUAACGGUACUAUAUAUUGUGUUUCUAUGGCUCUCCUAUUUCUAAUGCAUUUAUUUUUACUUCUUACAUUAUUCCUUUUGUGACAAGCUCACUUUGGUAUUACACUGUUUAGAUAUGAGUACGGUUUGUUUGGGGAUUUAGUUAAAGAGAUUUUUCCAGCUGUCAUUGUUUUUCUGCAUUAUAAUUAUUAAUAUUUCUUUAUCACUGCUAGGUGGAGAAUUUUGCCUAUUAUUGCCCAUAUCAUUUCCAAGUGUCAGGUAAAACAAAUUUUGCUUAUUAUUGCAACAUUCAAGCUAUGUUACAUACAAGUUCACAUUGAUAGCUAGCUCACCCAAUACAUUGGUGUGUUGUGAUGUGUAUGAAUAAAAGAUGAUACUAAAACUUGCUUUCCUAAAAUCAGUCUUAACAAUAGUUCUGAUAUUGUUGCUUACUCUAGAGGUAAACAACCACCCAAACCUAAAAGUAAAACCUAUUUAUCAGUAUAUAAACACUACUACUGAACACAUUCAAGAUGAUAUUUGUCUCAUGUAAAUUUGGCUUUCUUUGCUUCGAAGGCAUGCAAAAAUCUCAUGUAUUCUAUACAGUUGAUAGUCCAGUAGAAAAUUGGAACGUGGGCAAAAGUUUUAUCUCAAAGGAGUCUUGGUGAAGACUCUCAUUCUUAUACUUUUCUUACUUGUGCAGGUAUGUGGCAAGACUGGUUAGAAAGAGAGGUAUAAUGACCAUAUUUAUGCUUCUUGCGUUUGAGUGGUGGUUGUUAUGUCUGUUUAUCACACAAAAGUUAUUGAUAUUACACUUUUACGAGUUCAUUGAUCUUUUUUUUUUCUUGCAGGUUUCUGGCAUACUUAAAGAACUUGGUUAUACAGAAAUGGUUUACAAAUUUUGAGUGACAAGAGAAAUUGGAAAUAUUAUUUUUCACUCUUUGUUAUCAAUGUAACCUAUCUACAUUUGAAAGCUGCCACGAUUAAGAUUUGUUACAAAAAUGAGAAGAAAUUAUCAGUAAGUUGUAGUAUGAUUUUAAACUUCUGAAA